GCUCAGGGGAAGGACGGUAAGAAUGGCUGUUUGACAGAGAGGGGAAACAAUGCCUUUGAGAAGGACGGGUUCUGUGCCCAAGAGACAAGAAAUGCUGUGCAAUAUGGGUUUAUUCCUCAAGUCCUUAGUCAAGCAAAACUCCCAUUUGAUGGUCCUUUAAAGAAAUAUUCCAGUGCAGCAGAAGAGAAGAGAUGCUGUACCCGGGCCACUCUCAAGAGACAGACUGUGGCACUCCCACAGCAUCUUUCUGAGAGAUGAGAACUGCAUCAAACUGUUUUUAAAUGGAUGUUGAAAAAUUGGAGAAGAUGCAGAAGAGCACCACAAAAAUUAUUCGAGGGCUGGAGAAGAUGCCUUAUAGUGAAUCUUAAAGCUAAAAAUGAUUAAACUCAUAAAAAAGAAGACUGAGUGCUGACUUGAUUAAAGUAUCUUCUUGGGGAGAAAAUACCAGGUGUGAAAAUCCAUUUCCCCUUUCCCUCCUUGCCAGUGUCUCCCACUCCUCCCUUCCCAAGGGCUCUAUGUUUGCCUCCAUUUCCCCACCAUUUUCAUUUCUUUCUGUCUGGGGGAGAGAUUGUCAGCACUUUACACUGUGUUGGGAGGAUGGGCAGAGCGGUUAAUGUGCUUAACUACAAAUCUGAAGAGUGUGGGUUUGAGCCUGGCUCAAUCUCACACUGAAAGGCCACCUCCAGUUCACCUAGCAGCAAAAUGGAUAUCUGAUCUAUGGGGUUAAAGCAG